GUUGUUGUUGCUGAGUGGUUAAGGCGAUGGAUUAGAAAUCCAUUGGGGUUUCCCCUUACAGGUUCAAAUCCUGCCGAUAAUG
rnacentral:tRNA from 1 species